GAGCCAUUUUAGAAUGUAGGACCGUUGGUUCCAUUUUGUCUGGUAGAGAACUCUAUCAGUUGGAAACUCUGUGUAACAUGGAGCAGAACUCUUUGGAUCAUCACAGACAUGGCAUACAAGGCUUGCUGCCUGGACUGAGUGAGGAACGGGAGGUGCUCUUCAGAGACUGCCUUGAAAAGUCUUGGGGAAGAGACAGACUCCAUCCCAAUACAUUCAUCUCGGCUAUAUAUUUUUGAAGACAACUUGUUUUAAUUAUUUACAGUUCUGAAGAUCGAACUCGGGACCUUGUGCUUGCAAGGCAGGAAAUGGCAUUACUCAGCUAAAUCUCCGCCCCAAUGAUGCUUUUCUUAAAAUGAGAACAAAUCCAAAUCUCAAGGUCUUAUCUUGUACUGAGACCAGUUUUUACAUUUCAAUGACCUAAGGACCUGGAAUGUUAAUGAUCUUACUGAACUGCUCCUGAAGAAUCCCCAUCAAUGGACCUGACUUCAGUUGGAUUGAUAGAUUACUUCUCACCACUCAGAAAGUUCACAGUAAAUCCACUUCAGAGAGGAAGGCUGGGGAAAACCCACCGAUGGGCCUCGAAAGCUGAGCGAUUCCUGAUAUGACGCACCGAGCUGCAGCAGUGCCACAAGAGCAUAACUGAAUCGCAUCCUGAGGAAACACCAGUCAAACUGAACUUAGGAACAUUCAGCGACGGUCCCGAGCCCUUCAAAGAUCUCCGUGUCACAAAACGCAGAGUCCCGGGAUCUGUUCCUAAUUAAAAGAUACUAACAAAACAGAACAACUGGCAGGAUUUUCUCUUGCUACGAGGACAUUUUGGGACAAACAACUGGGAAAUCUGAGCAAAAUGUGUAGAGUAUUUUAUGGCUGUUAAUUUCCUGAUUUCAGUGAUUGGACUGGGACGAGGCAAGAGAUUUCUUCAUGUUAGGAGACACACGCAGAAGGAGUUAGUGUAAAGGUGCAUCUGAUCCUCAUUGGACAAAUGGCUCAGACAAAAAAAAAAAAAUCUGGGAAGUGCCAAAUAAGGACUUCCUGUGUUUCCUUAUUUAUCUGCCGCUCAGUGGGCUUUGUGCAAAGGAUGGGUGGGAGUGAGGAGCAGCCUCCACACAGCUGUUCAGGGAUGUCUGCAAAAGCAGCCCACCCACAUUGCUUUUGGACACUGGGUGUGAUUUGGAGGGUAUCAGGUUUGUCUGUGAGGGAAACUGCCAGCCUCCUCCCUGGCCAAUUGGUUUCUGUGUUUCCUUGCUGGCCCUCUGAAUAGAAAAGUCCUUUUCCUCAGGAUAUCCCCCAGAAGCAUCUUUUUCUUCACAGUGGAAUCUAAGACAUUAGUUUAACUACAGUUUUCUCUUUGAUGAAUUCUAGGACCUGCAAAAAUGUAGAGGUUAAAUCUGAUGAACCACAUGGCUAAGCUUGCGAUGUAUUUGCUUUUUCAUUGAAUUAAAACAAAAAAUUGGUUGCUUUCCAGUACGCUUAAUUUCCAGACCCAGCUUUCUUCCUAUUUGUCAGGCUGUAGGAAAUAUUAUACUUACCGAACACAAAGUUGGAAGAAUUAGUUGGAUCCCCCCACCCCCCGCCCACUCACACACCAAAGCCAAGCUUUGGUUUCCUCUUCUAUAAAGAAGAGAUUGGUAGAACUAAGGUUAUGGACAGAAAAGUACUACAUAACUAAAAAUUAUCAAGCUUUUCAGUUCCUUCAAUUUUGGAGACAUUUGUAUAUUGAUUCUACCAAGUUGUAUGCUAGAAGGUUCUCUCCUAAUUCUCCUAUUUAAAAAAAGUGGUACAGGUCAGGAUGACCUGCUGAGGGCAGAGCCUGAGGUUCAGCCACCUGACACAAAGGAAUUCGGCUUCUCUGACAAUGCAGUGCUCACACACACACAGCCUGGCAGAGCUCUAGGGAACACGCAAGAUCAAAUGAUUCAAGACUUGCAUGGCAACAUCUGUGGUUCCCCAUUGCCCAUCACCUACCACUUUUUUCUUGGCUAACAGAACCUCUAUUUUCAUUUGAAAGCUCUUUCUGCAGUCAAGGUGAAGGUAUCAGUCAAGGUGUUCGGGCUCUUCCUGACCCAACAUGGCAUCUCUCCUAUGGGAAUUUGAAUCUUAAACUCAGUGACUCAAGUAUAAACAAUCUGUGGGAACUGAGUUAUUCUCACUGGCACUGUGAACUAAAUCUGUGUUCAUUACUAUUAAUGAGGUCUCUACAACUAUCCUGGUUCUGGCCCUUUAUAAUACCUAAUUAUCAAUGUUUUCUUACACUCUGAAUUUUCAUGUUUCUUUUUACCUGUUUUCACAGUGUUGGUUUUAGCUAAGCAAAGUUAGUUUCUAUUGCUUACACAGAAAAAGUUCUAACUGAUACAUCUUUGCUCUUUAAAAAUAAAGAAUCUAAUUUUCAAAGAGAGUAGACUACUUGAUUAGGGUCUGAAAGUAAAUUAGGACCAGAACCCAGGCAAACACAGAUUAGCCAACUUCUUUCCACUAGGAACAUAACCUAUCUCCUUUAGAGUUAUAGUAUUCUUGCAAGGAAGGAUCUACUACAUUUCUAGAUAACUCAAAUGGACCAAGAGCAAGUUCAGGGCUGUAUUAUCACUGAGCUUUUAAAAAGCCUACUGGACUCUAGUUAUAGCCAUAAUUGAGUAUGUAAGACUAUAAUUUGUUCUUCAUUGUCCAAAAAAAGAACACUAGUCAUUAUAUGCAAAUUAUAC
ensembl:lncRNA